rnacentral:rRNA from 1 species
UACGUAGGGGGCUAGCGUUGUCCGGAAUCAUUGGGCGUAAAGCGCGUGUAGGCGGUCCGGUAAGUCCGCUGUGAAAGUCGGGGGCUCAACCCUCGGAUGCCGGUGGAUACUGUCGGGCUUGAGUACGGAAGAGGCGAGUGGAAUUCCUGGUGUAGCGGCGAAAUGCGCAGAUAUCAGGAGGAACACCAAUUGCGAAGGCAGCUCGCUGGGACGUUACUGACGCUGAGACGCGAAAGCGUGGGGAGCGAACAGG